rnacentral:rRNA from 1 species
UACAGAGGGUGCGAGCGUUGUCCGGAAUCACUGGGCGUAAAGGGCGCGUAGGCGGCUUGAUAAGCGUGCGGUGAAAGCCCGGGGCUCAACCCCGGGUCGGCCGUGCGAACUGUCGAGCUGGAGCACUGUAGAGGCAGGUGGAAUUCCGGGUGUAGCGGUGGAAUGCGUAGAGAUCCGGAAGAACACCGGUGGCGAAGGCGGCCUGCUGGGCAGUUUCUGACACUGAGGCGCGACGAGCGUGGGGAGCAAACAGG